UACGUAGGGGGCAAGCGUUGUCCGGAAUCAUUGGGCGUAAAGCGCGUGUAGGCGGCUUGGUAAGUCCGGUGUGAAACCCUGGGGCUCAACCCCAGGCCUGCACCGGAUACUGCCUCGCUCGAGUUCGGGAGGGGAGAGCGGAAUUCCUAGUGUAGCGGUGAAAUGCGCAGAUAUUAGGAAGAACACCGGUGGCGAAGGCGGCUCUCUGGAACGAUACUGACGCUGAGACGCGAAAGCGUGGGUAGCGAAC
rnacentral:rRNA from 1 species